rnacentral:rRNA from 1 species
UACGUAGGGUGCAGGCGUUAAUCGGAAUUACUGGGCGUAAAGCGUGCGCAGGCGGUUUGCUAAGACAGGUGUGAAAUCCCCGGGCUUAACCUGGGAACUGCGCUUGUUACUGGCAGGCUUGAGUGUGGCAGAGGGGGGUGGAAUUCCACGUGUAGCAGUGAAAUGCGUAGAGAUGUGGAGGAACAGCGAUGGCGAAGGCAGCCCCCUGGGCUAACACUGACGCUCAUGCACGAAAGCGUGGGGAGCAAACAGG